rnacentral:tRNA from 2 species
GUUUUAAUAGCUUAGUGGUAAAGCAUUGCACUGUUAAUGCAUAGAUUUGGGUUCGAUUCCCAAUUAAGACU